rnacentral:rRNA from 1 species
UUGAAAGGGAAACGAUUGAAGUCAGUCGUACCAGCGGAUAAUCAGCCUUUAGAUGCGAUUUUGUGGAGCGUGAAGAGCUAAUCGCCUUCAUGCCUGUAUAUUCGUGUACUUGGGGUGUACUUAUUCGUGUGGUAAGUUAACAUCAAUUUUGGUUGUCAUAAAAUGAUUGGAGGAAUGUAGCUUCGAUCUCGUAUUGAAGUGUUAUAGCCUUUGGUAGAUGUGACGAUCGGGAUUGAGGAUUGCAACGGAUACCCUUCGGGGGCUACCUGUCUGAUCUCUGAUUGUUGCUCUGGUGCUGAAAGCUUGCUUAUGGUUAUCAAAGUCGAUGGUCAAUAGGUUAGAAUGGGUUAAAUUCGUUAAGGAUGUUGACGUAAGUC